ensembl:lncRNA
AGUGAAGAAAAAGAGGAGUGAGGAGCCUGGCCUGCAGGAUUUGACCAGACAAGAGAUAUGCAGCUGCUAGAAAGAGCAUUAGCACAGACUAUUUAGAAGCUUGCAGAGAGGACAAAGCUCCCUGUGGAGAAUUUACAGCUUCUUUGAGUGCCUAAAGGGGGCUCCAGGAGAACAAUUAUUGUUCAGGUGGUGAGACACUGGCACAGAUUGUCCAGAGAAAUUGUGGUUGCCCCAUCCCUGGAAGUGUUCAGAGCCAGUCUGGACGGGGCUUUGAGCAACCUGAUGAAGUGGAAAAUGUCCCUAUCCAUGGAAGAAGGUUGGAAUUAGAUAACCUUUUAGGUUAAUUUCCAAACUAAACCAUUUAAUUAUUCUAUAUGCAUCUCUCCUACAAAGCUGACUUUUUGCACAGAUUAUUUUGAAAUAGAUUUAGUAAUCUACACUUAGAUCUUUCCAUUAAUCUGCGUCUAGUGGAAUAUCACACAGGCAACAGUUAUAGGGACACUUGUCUCCAAAACAGCUUGGUAAGUUUGAUUUUCCUUCCUUGGAAACGUUAUCACUAAUUAUUUCUGCUUAAUUCUCAGCUAACCUGGCAUUAUUUCUGUAUUCUUUACAGCAGAAACCUGGGCCUUGCUAUGAGGCCAAGAACUGAGAAAUUUGGACCACACUUUCCUCUUAUUUGUACAUUCAUGUGUUCUAGGACUUAACUGAGUAGCUAGAAAGAAAAGAAGUAGUAGCAGCAUCAACAGAGACCUCAGGGUGAGGAGCUCCUCCCAGUGUGGUAAGCAGCUGGAUUACACGGUUCUAUUUCAAGCAAUGUUGGCUGCUAGGACAUCUUCCAUGUAAAUUGCAUGGCUCCAGGUGUGACAUCAGUGUUUUUGUUUAAAGAAACCUGUCUGAAAUGGAAUUAAGAAAAGAUCUCAAGGACAUGGUAGUAAAGUUAAAGCCCUGCCCCACGGCCAGUAUAUUUCAUGUUGCAUGGUCUUUUUUGAAGGCUCUGGAUGAUGACUCAGAACAUAUUUGCUAAAUAUCUAUCUACAAGAGGCUUCCCAUUGAUCCCUGUGCCAGUCACUAAGGGCUGGAAAUUACAGUAUUACAAAUUGUCUAGGAGUUCAUAUUUAUUAAACAAGACAAUAACAAACCAAAUAUGCAAUUUUGUGACAAUGCUGUCACACUGCAAAUCACAGUGGAGCUUCUUAACAGCAAAAAACACAGAUGCUUUCAAGAAAAACAAAAGCUGCAGCUCUAUUUUACAAAACACACUUAAACAACCUAACACUGAAUUAUUCAUGCAUGUUCUGAAAUACAUGCUUUGUAACCCAGAAUUAAUUGCCCUUAGUGGUGACUGGACUGAUUAAGAUUUCCAGAUGCAAACAGACAACUCAUCUCACAUCCCUGGCAAGGAAAAUAAAGUGGAAUACACUUCACA